UUCUACGGGUAAUUUCACCAUCGAUUCGUUAUAAUAUUUUACGGUUACCACGAUAAUCUAAAAUUCUGUAAAGGAAAAUGAAAUUUGUCCGUUCGAAGCGUUUAGUGUACUUACAAAGGAACGAACAGUCAUUCGAGUAUAUCGGUGCAAAUCCAGGCUCGUUAAGCCAUUAAAUGACAACAGGCCCCGCGGGUUAUCGUCGCGCUAAUAAAGCCGGCGUUGCGGACACGGUACAACGAUAAGAAAGCUCGUUUUAUUUCUCCUAGCUCUCGAUCUUCGUCGUAAACGUGCGUAACACGCGAGCCUGUCGAGGAAUCGAGAUAAGGCACGCAGAUAUAUCGGUGAGUCGACGCGAACCUCGUCAAAGAUUGCGCUAAUACGGGACAACGCGGACGAUCAGCCGACACGCGGCUUUUACGCUGACUCAGAACCACGCAAACACCAUUUUUAAUACGCUGCGCAAUGUAUUUUUUCUCAGUUUUGAUCGAUCGACGUUAACGCAAGCGAGCGCGGGGACUUUACAAUAUUCAACGUUUCUAAAAAAUGUCUCCAAAAACGCACUUUUAGUCAUCGAUACAGUGAAUCUGCCCCCAAAUCAAGAAUGUAAAAAUCUUACAUAAAUCCUACUUACAUAUAUAUACAACAUACAUUUAAAAAAAGGACACCCGAGAAGAAGUAUCAAUCGUCCAAUGCAAAAAAGUCCAUUUUUAACUGUCAAUCUGACGCAACGUCGACCACUAAUUGCUUUUAAAAAGCGAUAAUUCUGUUGACGUUGAUUCGGGACAGCACGAGCCGGAUUUUUCUCGGGAUUUCCAGGUUGUUCCCUCGAGGCCUGGCUCUCGUUAAUUUACAUUGGACGCUCGAUGAAUCCUUCGGGCACGAAAGCGGCCAAAGCAAAUUUGCUCAGUCCGGUCACGCGCGCACCGCUCCUCAGCACACGCGUUCCAACGUUUACCAGUGUCAUUAUUACCUGACGAGGUAAACCGAAUGCGCAGGCUGGUUAAUGGCAAUGGUAGAAAAGAGAACUGAACGAGAAUCGAACGAACACGAAAUCUAGAAGGUUUUAACCUGCAACGAUAAUGCAUCGGCAAUUGCUCUAUACUCAGCUAAUAUAGAAGCAACAUCGCGAAAGCAGAACAUGGGACAGUUUAUCAAAGAUAAGUCCGACACUAUGGCUAUGAGGUUAUGGCAUCUUCAAGGCCGUGAUACGUGAAAACACUACCGACUUACAACGAUGUUCGGUUCCUCGUCGUCACGGUCCUACCUUCCUCUCCGUGUUAAACGACAAUUUGCCGGUGUUACGCCGUCGAGAACACAGAUGCUAAUUGGAUAAUUAUAUGCAACAUCUAUUAAGCGGUGCGCGGUCCCGUGUAAUCUUCAAAUUUAUUUUGUCGAAGGAAAAGAAACGUAAUGGAAAAAAGGAAACGCAAAUACACGAAGGAACAUGGAUUGCUUAAUAACGUCGAGCAACAUGGCGGAACGCGAACGCUUGUAAAAUAUAUAGGGUGAUCCGUAAUUGAUGAUUCACAUGGGAUCAGGGAGGUUCUAUGGGUCAAAAUAAGACGAAAAUCAAGAAUAACAAUAUUACUGUGCAAAGUAUACGUAAAUUUGCUGAAUUCUCAGUUAGAUAGGAAUAGAUAAUCGAUAGGAUGUUAUUGUACAUGUGAAAAUGAGUGGAAAAUGUAAAACAAAACCUUCUCACCUAAAACCUCAUUUUCGAAAAAAUCAAUUUCAGAGAAUUUGCCUAGUAUCUACAUACCGAACUAAUUCUUGACUAACGCAGGUGUACAAAUCCCACUUUCUUCAAAACGGUGUAUUAAAUAACAGAAUUUUAUGUUUCAUCUUCAUCUUAUUUUGACACAUAGAAUAAUUUCUUUUCAUUUCGUCCGUUCCUGCCAAACCGAGAGCUGAUUAAGUUCACGUGUACCUCACAAAUUUUCAAACUCGAUUUCCACAAAAACGAAGUCUUCGACGCAAUUUUGGUAUUCUUGAUUUUCGUCUUACUUUGAACUAGUGAGCUUUCCUGACCCCACUUUUAUCGUGAAUUACGGACCACCCUCUAUAGCAUUCGGUCGAUACUAUUCAGCUAGCCACGCUGACGUUAAUCGGAUAAUUCUACGCGAACCCUGUCGUGCGUUAAUUUAGAUAUUAUUCCUUGUUCGCGACGUCCACCGUAGCUGGAGAAAAUUCCAUUGGGAGAGUCGUGAAGACAGCGACCAAUGGAAGGGGUAAUUAUGAUACCACGGCGGAAAAUAAUUAAACGUUUGCCUGCGCUAUCGGAACUUUCAGUAUUUCGAGCGAAAACUCCGUUAGUCGCCAGCACGUAUUAAUUUGAGCCUCGAGAAUGAUUAUGCGGUAAUUCGAAUCUGUUCUUUUGGAUUUAUGGACUAUCUUGUUCCUCGUUGAUUGAAUCUGCCUUGAAAAUUCCCAAGUUGAUGGUUUUUGUCUUUGCACCGUUCUACUUCAUGUACAUAUAUGGAUGAAUGAUUGAUGCUUCGUUGAAAUGAAUGGCAAAUGAAAUGUUAAUAUUCAAGAAUAUCAAAAUUAUUGGGAUAUAUUUCACGAACAAGCUUAAGUUAGAUUGAAAAUGUUUUCAAUCAUAAGUCUCGUCUUCGUCGAAACAACAUCGGACAACCUUUUGUCUCCUUUAAUUUCCGUAUUUUCAAGUUCGAAACAUUUUCAAAAAAUAGCAAUCUAUAGAGACAUUUUGCUUCAUACUGAAGCAACAUUCGACAACUAACGGUGAUUUUUUCAAAAAACAGGAUCAGCAAUAAGAUACUUGUUCGAUGUUGCUUCAGUGGAAUCGAGACUAUAUGUUAAGCCUCUGCCUUUUUAACUUUCGUCCCUGAAAAUUUUCUUUAACCCCUUAACUAAUAAAAUUAUGACUUCCGGUCGACAAAAUGUAUAAUUCUUUUAUGUUCUAAAAUACUUCCAUGCACGAUAAAAAAUGUAAAAAUGUCAUAUUUUACAAGUACCUUUUGUAAUAAUUACGCAGUGUGGUAGAUUUUGAAACACGGAAUACACAACCCGUUUAGUUUCUUUUUUAUUCCCAUUUUGCAAAUAUGGAUAAAGAAACAUACAAAAUAUCUUGAUGUUAUUUUUAUUAUGUAAGAAAUUAUUGCAUUGAUAUUUCGGAGAGUACAUAGAAAUACGAAAAAAUGGGAAUUAUGUCAAGUUAACUCGGUUGAUUAAGGCAGAAGGUUAAUAAAUAUAAGUCAAUCGAAUCAAGUGUUACCGACAUCAGUUAAUUUCAUUCUAAUCA